rnacentral:rRNA from 1 species
AGAGAUGUGUGAUGACGCAUAUCAAUAAGCGGAGGAAAAGAAACUAACAAGGAUUCCCUUAGUAACGGCGAGUGAAGCGGGAAGAGCUCAAAUUUGAAAUCUUCAAGGUUCUACCUUGACGAAUUGUAGUUUAUAGAAGUGUUUUCUGUUAGUAGAGUGGCAAAAGUUCUUUGGAAUAGGACAUCAUAGAGGGUGAGAAUCCCGUAUUUGGUCAUUCCUCCUAGCGUUGUGAUACACUUUCAACGAGUCGGAUUGUUUGGGAAUGCAGUCCAAAAUGGGUGGUAAAUUUCAUCUAAAGCUAAAUAUUGGCGAGAGACCGAUAGCGAACAAGUACCGUGAGGGAAAGAUGAAAAGAACUUUGAAAAGAGAGUUAAACAGUACGUGAAAUUGUCAAAAGGGAAGCGUUUGACACCAGUGUUGUUUUUCCGAAAAUCAAUUACGAAUGUUUUGUUUUUGAGAAGUUAUGACUUCAUCGGCUUGCUUCUUUCUUUACGAAACUUUCUUAAUGCACUUUUCGGUUAACAAGUCAACAUCAAUUUCUUUUGUUGUAAAAGGGUACGAGGAAGGUGGCUUUCUUUUCGGAGAAAGUGUUUAUAGCCUUGUACCUCUGCAAUCGGAGAGAUUGAGGUCUGCAGCGUAGAUCCUUCGGGGUUAGAUACAUUUGUGCUAAGUUAUAGCUUUUCAUAGACAACUUGUUGACUAUGUUAAGUCUUGUAGCUUACUCGCUUAUGCUAUUUUACCUACGCUUAGGAUGUUGAAGAUGUAGCACAUCAU